GAAAGAUGGCUUUGGCUAUCACUCUGGGAUGGACCUGCGGUGCAUUAGCUAGUUGGUAAGGUAACGGCUUACCAAGGCGAUGAUGCAUAGCCGAGUUGAGAGACUGAUCGGCCACAAUGGAACUGAGACACGGUCCAUACUCCUACGGGAGGCAGCAGUAGGGAAUCUUCCACAAUGGGCGCAAGCCUGAUGGAGCAACACCGCGUGAGUGAAGAAGGGUUUCGGCUCGUAAAGCUCUGUUGUUGGAGAAGAACGUGCGUGAGAGUAACUGUUCACGCAGUGACGGUAUCCAACCAGAAAGUCACGGCUAACUACGUGCCAGCAGCCGCGGUAAUACGUAGGUGGCAAGCGUUAUCCGGAUUUAUUGGGCGUAAAGCGAGCGCAGGCGGUUGCUUAGGUCUGAUGUGAAAGCCUUCGGCUUAACCGAAGAAGUGCAUCGGAAACCGGGCGACUUGAGUGCAGAAGAGGACAGUGGAACUCCAUGUGUAGCGGUGGAAUGCGUAGAUAUAUGGAAGAACACCAGUGGCGAAGGCGGCUGUCUGGUCUGCAACUGACGCUGAGGCUCGAAAGCAUGGGUAGCGAAUAGGAUUAGAUACCCUGGUAGUCCAUGCCGUAAACGAUGAGUGCUAGGUGUUGGAGGGUUUCCGCC
rnacentral:rRNA from 1 species